AUUGUGAUGCGCAUAGAGCUUUCUGUUGAGCGGGGAUUUGCGCUAUACAAAUGCUAUCUAUUAUUAUUAAUGUUAUAUCUAUAGUGAGUCUUCUACUCUGCCACUGUAUACUUCUAAUCAUAAUAGAAUCUCAAAAUUACAUUUUGUGGUGAUGAACACUUUGUAAAAAGGUAUUAAUUAUAAAAUUCAACGACAAGCACAUCUGGUCGGGGUAGGCAGUUUAAUACUUAACAACUGGCACAUACUCUGUUCACAUGCUCUGCUUGGAAGAGACACUGACCACAUGGUCUCGUGCUUAUAUACUGCUCACAACACUGACAAAGGUAAUCACUACAAAAGAACGAAGGCAACUCCCAACAGUAACGGGUGAUAACUAAGAAUAAUGAACGAGGACAACUGGACACUGACUUAUUGGGUUAAAUCCCUUAAACAUGUUUGACAGUGACAACACUACAUUAAUGACCAAAGAUAUAACCUGCAACUGUUGGAUGUAUAUAUGUUUAAUUACAGUAUAAGCUUAUGUCUUUGAGAAGAAAAACUUUUUUUGUUUUUGCUUAUUUUAGAAGAUUGAUUUUUCUGCACUAAAUUUGGGUGUAAAUGGAGCAUUCUGUAAAUGAAUAUUGGGGGGAAAACAGGGUGUUCCAGAUUUUUUUCAAGAUUUCGUGUGUUCUUAAUUUGGGCAUAAAUAGAGUAUUUUGUAAAAUGAAUUCUGGGAAAAAAAGUGUUCCAAGAUGAGGCUGCUUAAAGAGUGAAACGAAAGAUGCACAGUUCUGCUUUUUUGUGCUGUAACAAUGUUCACAUGCAGCAUGCUUCCUUGGACAGGCAAUAAAAUUAGGGUGUUUGCUUGAAAGUAAGUGUUCAUCUGCACAAGUAAAUGACUUUAGAUUUCAGCCAAAUUUGGCUGCUACUCAUAGCUGCCCUCCAAAUAAUAAGUAAAUUAGUAUUAAAUACGGUAGUCUCUGCCUUAGAUGUCGGUGCUUGGGAACAAGGAAAAAUCUGUAUCUUAAGCGAACAGGAUUUUAGCCAAUGCACCCAGGGAAGAUUCCGUACUGACUCAUGUUCUGCCCCACAAUCGGUAAGGACCAAUGACAAUGGCAUAAGGGCAUUUUCAUUUAAUCCAAUCGUGAGUCGCAUGAUUUUUAUGCUGAUCCUAUUGCUCCUCCCUUGUACUUAUCCAAAAUUGAUAGCUUUCCAUGUUUGACCGAAUUCCCCUGCCUCUGCCAUAACACUCUGCCAUUGUGUUGUGACUGUUAUUACCCACUCAGUGUACGAUGUGAGUUCAGGUGGAGAGCUCAGAUUCGAGUGAAAUUUUGGGAGGAAAACUAACACAUCAUCGAUUUCACACCUGGGUGUGAUCUUGUCUGGGGCAAGAAUUGUACCAUUGCAUCAAGAUUUACAAUGCACAUGUGAUCACAAAACUGUAUGAUCUGUGAGUAAGUUUUCACCCAUUUUUUUUUCUCCAUUUUUUGUUGUUCUGUAAAUUGUGAUCUUAAGUGCGGGAUCUCAGCCAAAUGUAAUCCUUUAGAACGGGAUCUUAGGGGUCACUUUUGUGUACUAAAAAUUAUGUUUUCUUAAUAAAGCUGCGGGAUCUGGGAUAGUAAGUAGCAUGAUCUUAGGCGGAGACUACUGUAUUUAGAAUUUUUUGCAAAAUAGUUGAAAAUCAGUAGGCCUACUUAUAAAUGGACGUUCUAGAGGUAUAUUUUCAAAAGUUUCUCGAAAUGACCACCUUCUGGUGGAUUUUCUCAGAGCAACACACAUUUUAUAACUUAGAAUCAUACCUGAAGAAAAGAACAAGCUAUGUAAAACAAUGUAUGCUGAACCCCAAGUUUGUUUACUUACAUGGAUCUUGCAAACAAAAGAUGUUUUUCCUGUGGUCCAGUGGGUAUGUUCAAGAGCAAUUAAAGCACCACAAAUAACUGAAGAUUGGUUUUCAUAGAUUAUGUUAUACAGUUCAAAAGAUUUCUUAUGCUGUUUGCUUACUAUUUUUUUCCAUAGAACCUCCCGGAUAUUGCAUGUUUUAUGUGACAAAUGCUUCAAGUGCUAAUCGUGUUGUAAUCUAAUUAAACUGUGGAUAUUGCAAGUUUGUGCCUUGUUUAUUUGAAUAUAUUGCUUGCUACUCUCAUGUCAUGUAUGUCCUCUUAAAAGAAUCAUUGAAAUCCAUCAGAGCAUGUACAGUACACAAAUACAAAUAUUUCAUUCCUCAUUAAUGGGUUGCAUAUUUAUUUUUUCUAUAAUUAUCAUGACAGAAUGUUCCUUUGUUUAAAGAUGUCUUUAUGUAAAAGGUACCUUUUAAAGAAAAGAUUAUAUAGACUAUCUUAUCUUGAUUAUUUAUGACGAUCACAAUGUAAUUGAUAAAUGUUUUUCUAAUUUUGCAAUUAUUAAGUUUUCUCUGCUAGCCUUUGAUAUCCACCCAAAAGGCUCUGGGGACUUUAGCUGGAUUUAUGGCAUCUCCCAUCACCAAGGUGGUCCUUUCGUUGAGCUUUUGGAGUAUUUAUUGAAGCACCUGUGUCCCCAGGGUUCUCCUCUACUCUCUGCAACUAUCUCCCAUUUGGUUCGCAACUGCUUAGCAGCUAACCUCCAUGUCUUGAAGCCAUUUCCCUAUUCUCCAACCGAUGUUGUGAUGAGAUGGGGAACCACACUAAAUCUUUAGUGCCUCCCAUAACCUAUAAGUACUUACUAAGAUAUUACAUUAAUAAAAAAAAAGUGGUGGUGUUUCAAGUGAUAAUUACAAAAAGUUAACAUGGGAUGUACACAUGAGUGUGAAUGUAGGAUUGGACUUUUUCCUUUUUUUUCUAGUUUGUUCAUGGGCAUAUUUCAUAAUUGUUAAAUAUUUAUGAAGGGAACAGAGAGAGUGUAUUCUUUAUCUGUACAGGGACCUUUGUCAUGUCACAGCCACUAUACUAUAACUAUAGAUUAUAGCAAAUCAUUUGUAAAUAUAUUUUUAAAAAUGUUUCCAUCAUUCUGUGAUUGGUGUUGUGUUACAUGUCUUAAGUGUUGAGAAGUAAUUAUACCCUCUUGACAAGUGCAACCUCGAAAUGCAACGCUCAUGGUGAGCUUUUUUUUAACCACCAUAUAUGUGAAAUCUAUUUUCAGCUUUCCACAUUGUGCUUCUUGCAGCAUAGUUUCAGAAGCAUUGAAGGGUUUAAAUUUGAAAUAACUUUUGUUUGUGUGUUUGUACAUGUAUACUUAUAUGUGAGCCAUUCUCAAAAUGUCGACAUAAAAAACAACUUCCUAAAUUCCGGACAGUUUUUAUACUCCUAACGCAGUGUAUACUGAGUAUUUUGUUUUUAAUCUUGAUAGUUGAGAAGACAGACACUUACAACACUUACUCAAGAAACUUAAUAAAUUUUUAAACUCUACUUCUACUUCUGUGACUGACCCGCUGGUCAAACUAUGAGCACAGCUGACAUUCAUAUAUAUUGCAGCUUGAUAUUUUUUCUCUCCCACCAUCCUUGUUGACGUAAACAUAGAUAUUCUAUCUAAACUCUGAAAGUUUUUCGUUUUCGUAAUCAUGAUAUGGAGCUUCUUUGCAUAGGAUUGUGUAGAGUAGUUUGUGAUAGUUCACCGGUUAAAAAUAGUUGCACUCUUUGUAACCGCUUCUCAUUAAAAGGAAAAUCUCUACUAGAAUGUAUUUGUAAGGUACCGGCAUCAAAUUCUAAUAUGUUUGGAAAAUCAUGAUUCUUAUGUAAAUUUUACAUUUGUUUUGUUUUUCAUAACUGGAGGAAAAGAGACACUCCUAUUAGGGUUAUGUUCACUUUUUUAGAAAAUAUCAUAGAUAUGUUUGUAUGAGUGCAUGUACGCUUGCAUGUGUGUUUGUGUGUGUGUGUGUGUUUUGAAUGUUUAAUAAUCUUACUUUUGCUAGUUUUGUUUUCUGCAUUAUUUUGAAAUGACUGUCCUAAUUGCAUUCAUAUAUGACACAUCUUAAUCAGUGAUCGGAACUUUUCAUAAUACUAUUUGACUGGGUUCCUGUUACACAAUACGAUCAUGUCACUAUG